rnacentral:lncRNA from 10 species
GAUUUAAAAAAAUACAACUUUAAAAAAUGAAAAUAAACUCUUUAAAAUUAAAAAUAUCGGAGUGUAUUUGUCAAUUCUCACACUGCUGUAAAGACAUAUCUGAGACUGGGUAAUUUACAGAGAAAACAGUGGAAAGCAAAGGAGAAGCAGGCAUAAUUGUCACAUGGAAGAGCAGAGAGAGAGAGAGCAAAGGGGAAAGUGCUACACACUUUUUUUAUUUUUAUUUUUUGAGACAGAGUCUCUCUUUGUUGCCAGGCUGGAGUGCAAUGGCAUGAUCUUGGCUCACUGCAACCUCCGACUCCCUGGUUAAAGCAAUUCUCCUGCCUCAGCGUCCCGAUAAGGCAGAAAUUAAAGAAGAUCAGAAUACGAUGAAACUUUACAUUUGGAUGUAGGAAAAUUAGAAGUUCCUGAACAAAAGUCACAUAAGAAAAGAAGUAUCUUACAAGAGUAAGAUUAACUUUAGAAUAUUAAGAAUAAUCUUACAGCAAUUUAAAAUUUAACCAGAGUUUUUGUUAAAAAAUAUUUUACAAAGCCAACAGCAGGCCAAAUAAUUCAAAGAAAAAGAUUUACUAAUUUUUGCUAAUGUAUUAUAUCAUUCCAGCCUUGUAAACAUUCUUCCAGAAAAUGGAAGUAGGAGGUAAAGAAUUCCAUUUCGUUUUAAAAGCCAAGUAUGAUCUUAAUAACAAAAACAAGUAUAUUAUUGCUGCUGUAACAAUUUACCACAAACUUAAUUGUUUAAAACAAUACACAUUUAUCAUCUUAUAUAUACCUCUAGAAGCCAGAAGUCUCCUGAUCUCACUAGACUAAGAUUAUGGUGUCAGUAGAGCUAUCUUCCUUCCUGUAGCUUAGGGUAGAAUUGUUUUUUAGAAACUGCCCACAUUCCUCGGCUCAUAGUCUUCUUCUUUCAUCUUCAAAGCCAGCAACAGUGGGCUGAGUCUUCAUACUCUCUGGUUCUCCACAACUGGGAGACUGCUAUGUGAAUUAAGUGUGCUAACUCCCACCAGAGGCAGAAGAGUUAUAUAUAUAUACAUUUUAUAGUUGUAUAUAAUUGUAUGUUAUAGUUAUAUAUACUUAUUGUAAUAAUUAAUAUAAUUUCAUAAUUUUAAUUAUAAUACAGUUAUAUAUUGACAUAUAAUUAUAUGUAUUUUACAUCUUUUAAAAAAAUAUAUAUGUAUGCUUGAGUGCACAAUUUAUUGUGAGGCCUUACAUGUCAUCAAUCAUGUAAUUUAUAUUCAACCUAAAGGUAGUAAUAAAAGAUGGGAGGUAAUGAACCACAGUGAUGGCCCAGGAGCCUAUUCUAGUGGGUCUGGAGUCCUUUGGAAGCUGGUCAGUUGGGGCAUCACUGCCUCUCUAGGGCAAAGCCUCAAGCGGCAGCCACCUAAAGUUGUGAGAAGUCCUCAGAGUUCUCACAGGCCUCCAAAGGCAUCUUGAACAAGGCUUUGUCCUGGCUGCUUUUAUAAUCCUUCAGAGAUGUGUCUAUUUUCAACAUCUUACGACUUUCCCCUUUCUACUGGUUCAUUUCAGGUCUUGAGUGAUAUCAGGCAACAGCAGGAAUUAUCACCUCAGUCCAUUACAUAUAUAUUUAUCACUUGAGAAGAGGGAGACUACUUUACUGUGGGUUCAAUGCUACUUGAUAUGAGUGACUACAUUUUGAGACAUUAGGUGUUGGGAGCGAGCUCCCAAAAUCUGGCCAUAAACUGGCCCCAAAACUGGCCAUAAACAAAAUCUCUGCAGCACUGUAACAUGUUCAUAAUGUCCCUAAUGCCCAAGCUGGAAGGUUGUGGGUUUACAGGAAUGAGGGCAAGGAACACCUGGCCCGCCCAGGGUGGAA